UACGUAGGGUGCGAGCGUUAAUCGGAAUUACUGGGCGUAAAGAGUGCGCAGGCGGCCGCGCAAGUCGAGUGUGAAAUCCCCGAGCUUAACUUGGGAAUUGCGCUCGAAACUACGUGGCUGGAGUGUGGCAGAGGAGACUGGAAUUCAUGGUGUAGCAGUGAAAUGCGUAGAGAUCAUGAGGAAGACCAGUGGCGAAGGCGGGUCUCUGGACAGUUCCUGACACUGAGACACGAAGGCCAGGGGAGCAAACGGG
rnacentral:rRNA from 1 species